GCAUAUGAGCAAAGCAAAGCCGACUAGCACUUGGCCGCAAUGAGAACCCGUGCCUAAAAGGGUACCUCCAAAGUUGCCUUGACAGCUACAAAGUAGUUGGUUUUAUUGCAAAAGUUUAACGAGAAAUAACAAUCAUUUUGUACAAACUUUCAUAGAGAUGGUAGUCUUGUAGCACAGAUUUGGAUUUUCUUUUCAUAGGUUCUCCACUAUGACUCUCUUGGAUUGGUUUAGGUAUCUCAUGUCUUUUAUAUUUUAGUGCAUUGAUAAAAAAUUAAAAAAAAAAAAGUAUUGUGGAAAAAUAAGAAUUACAACGUGGAUUGAACUUAUAAACAAAGAGAAAAAGAAAAAAGGAGAAAAGAAAAAGGAUAGGGAAAGCAAUCAAAACACUUUCAAGGAUCAUCAUUACUCUCUUUAUUCUUUACUUUGACAAUAUCAAGCAGUGCGGGUAACUACAUCUAUAUCCAUUGG
rnacentral:lncRNA from 1 species